rnacentral:tRNA from 1 species
GAGGAUAGCUCAAUUGGUAGAGCAUGAGACUCUUAAUCUCAAGGCUGUGAGUUCAAGCCCCACAUCUAGUCCAACA